CAGUCAUGUCUGCCAGGACUCAGCCUUGCUUCUGCUUGGUGUACUUUCUGGUUUGACGGGCCAACAUCAAUUUUGACCGUUGGAGAAAGGCUUUGGGAAUGUGGCACCCUCGGGUGUGUUAUAGCCCUUUGUUGUAUACAACGGUUGGGAUUGAGGACUGCAGCGUGCCUUCAUGGCCGGGUUACCCCACGUACAUGCUUAGGAUGUUGGCAUAAUGGCUUUAAGCGACCCGUCUUGAAACACGGACCAAGGAGUCUAACAUGUGUGCGAGUG
rnacentral:rRNA from 1 species